rnacentral:lncRNA from 1 species
UGGAUACAUUAUUGUGGCAAAUGAGCAUCAACAUGAUUUACCAUUUCGGUUAAUUUUAACCAUUUCGGUUAAUUUUAACCAUUUCCUGCUCUGCUUUCUUCUUCAUCUAUAGCUAUUUAAAGUAUCUAUUUGUGAAAGCAUGGAAUAUGCUCUGCUCCACUAUUUCACACAUACCAAACAGAGUUAACAACAUACUCAAACGACUUCAACUUUCUUUUCUUCACGUCUCUACCUGCAAAUAAACAUCUAAAAUACAUAAUUAUUCUCAAUCCCCAAUCACAGAAAAUAAAUGCAUACCAUAGUGACUUCUAACUAAACAAACUCGGCCACUGUGAAACCUGCAUGACCGUUUGACUCAUGGCCAUUUCAUAACACUCCAAAGCGCAGAUAAAAAAUUGUUGAAAAUAGGUUUUACCGGGUUUAUUCAGGUUAUACAAGGGGGAAAAAAUUAGUGAGACCAUCUAUCUAGAGGUAUGAUCCCAAACAAAGACGUUGAAGUUCAGUGAGAGAUGGCCAAGGCAGAGUCCAGCAAACAUAAGGUUAUAGAAACAAGUCUAAUGGGAACAAACGAAGAAAAGGCUUUGUGCCACUCAUUAUUCUGUCUCUACCCAAAAAAAAAAAGAAGAAGAGGAACCUCAAAAAGGAAAUAGGUGAUUCUUAUUCGACUAGAGAAUCUGAUAAUGCAAAAAUCAAUACCUUAAGAUUCUUUUUAGAUUAAGACAGAAUAUAUGUCCUUCGAGAGUUUAACGGUUAACAGAUGACGUUGUAAUAUGCCGUCUGAGAGAUAAUAUAGAGAAUGAGAACCACACCAGACCUUUUUCUUUUAACUUUUCCUAAACAAAUUCUGAAAUUAAAUAGCACAAGAAAAAUAAAAAGAGAAAAAGGAGGGACCUUAUGUAUGAGAUUAUAAAAUGGCAAGCUAAGUUGAUAUCCAAAACUAGGCCGCCUAAGCUCUUGUUUGGUACCCGAGAGUCUCCGCCUCUGUAUCCAACCUCUGUCACAUGUAGCAGAGGGAGUUUUGAUAUCGUAUAGUGCUGUAAAAUCUUUGUCCAUUCUAUUGAUGUGUUUAUAGAUAUUUAUGUUACUCUUUGUCAAAGGAUUUUGCAGUGCAAUAAGAAGAGAGAUGGCAAGAAAUGAGUGGAUCAACAGUUACCUGGAAGCUAUUCUUGAUGUUGGAACUAGCAACAAAAAGAGGUUUGAGAGCAACUCCAAGAUCGUCCAGAAGCUUGGAGAUAUGAAUAGAAAGGAACCUCAAGAGAAGGUGUUUAGUCCCAUCAAGUACUUUGUGGAAGAGGUUGUCAACAGCUUCGAUGAGUCUGACCUGUAUAAAACAUGGAUUAAGGUUUGAUCCUCAACCUAUAAAUUUAGAUCAAUGAUAUACAAAGAGAAUAUAUCAAUGAUAUAACACAAAAAAAAACCUCAAAAGUGAUUUUAGCAAAACAAAAGUUUUUACAAAUAAAUUAAAUACCUGCAAGUGAUGGUAGAGGGAUCUUUAAACUUGUUGCGGCAGGUGAUAGCAACAAGGAACUUAUAGAAACAAGUCUAAUGGGAACAAACGAAGAAAAGGCUUUGUGCCACUCAUUAUUCUGUCUCUACCCAAAAAAAAAAAGAAGAAGAGGAACCUCAAAAAGGAAAUAGGUGAUUCUUAUUCGACUAGAGAAUCUGAUAAUGCAAAAAUCAAUACCUUAAGAUUCUUUUUAGAUUAAGACAGAAUAUAUGUCCUUCGAGAGUUUAACGGUUAACAGAUGACGUUGUAAUAUGCCGUCUGAGAGAUAAUAUAGAGAAUGAGAACCACACCAGACCUUUUUCUUUUAACUUUUCCUAAACAAAUUCUGAAAUUAAAUAGCACAAGAAAAAUAAAAAGAGAAAAAGGAGGGACCUUAUGUAUGAGAUUAUAAAAUGGCAAGCUAAGUUGAUAUCCAAAACUAGGCCGCCUAAGCUCUUGUUUGGUACCCGAGAGUCUCCGCCUCUGUAUCCAACCUCUGUCACAUGUAGCAGAGGGAGUUUUGAUAUCGUAUAGUGCUGUAAAAUCUUUGUCCAUUCUAUUGAUGUGUUUAUAGAUAUUUAUGUUACUCUUUGUCAAAGGAUUUUGCAGUGCAAUAAGAAGAGAGAUGGCAAGAAAUGAGUGGAUCAACAGUUACCUGGAAGCUAUUCUUGAUGUUGGAACUAGCAACAAAAAGAGGUUUGAGAGCAACUCCAAGAUCGUCCAGAAGCUUGGAGAUAUGAAUAGAAAGGAACCUCAAGAGAAGGUGUUUAGUCCCAUCAAGUACUUUGUGGAAGAGGUUGUCAACAGCUUCGAUGAGUCUGACCUGUAUAAAACAUGGAUUAAGGU